rnacentral:lncRNA from 1 species
UUUUUUUUUUUUUGUCAGUCUUUAAAACUUAAAGUGCAGGUCACCAUUCAAAAAGGGAACCUGUGUUGCAGGCCGUCCUCAUAAAAGUAGCCCACUUCCCACUACUUGAUGGUUAAGAAGGAGAGGAAAAACCAGGAAAGCAUUCUAGAAUUUACUUGCAACAAUCAAGCUUCGCAGUCAGCCAUCCUAUAUUUGCUUAAUACUUGCUCACAAUCCGAUCCAUUGAAAUCUACGAGGUUGAAUUUCUAAUACAUCUUAUCAUUCAAUGCUUCAACCAGCAUGACAACAGUUCCUUCACCAUAUACCGUAUCUCCGACGUAAGACACAGUAGCACAAUAGCAACAUGUUUCUUUAUCUUAUUUAACUAUAGUGCAUUUUUAUCUCUCAUCUAAAACAUUAUAUUAAGACACCACAAACAUUCUUCUCAGGGACUGCAUCUCAAGAGUCUUAAAUAGUUCUAUUCCAUUGAUACAAUUUUUCAGAAUUCAUUUUCCAUCAGUUCGUUCAAUUUAAACGUCUUCCUACAACAGCUAAUAAUUCAACUUAAGAGGCGAAGCUUUAUGAAAAAUUGUUUUUCAUUUUCAUCAUCAUUUUAACUUUUCCUUCACCUAGAAUUGUAAAAGAGAACUAAUUCUACUGCCUUAAAACUUCAACCUCAAGCUUUCUAUGUACCAGCAUUUGACCAACAACCUGAAUAUCACAACUUUAAUACCUGUAAAACAGUUAUCUCGAUCACUUCUGCCUAAGCCGGAAAUAAAUAAGAACAAUGAAAACCCUAAAAAAAAGGUCACACAGUUUUACAUAGCCAAAACUGUACACAGAAAUAAACUUUACAGCCUAAUUCCACUAGUUUUUCCCUGCACCUCAAAAUUCGUUGACAUCAAACCAUUUUCACAUAAUAACAACAUAUACAAACACCAACUGCAGAACAGUCAUACAUAGGAUUAAUCGAGUAAAGCCAAAACUGUACACAGAAAAAUAAACUUUACAGCCCAAUUCCACUAGUUUUUCCCUGCACCUCAAAAUUCGUUGACAUCAAACCAUUUUCACAUAAUAACAACAUAUACAAACACCAACUGCAGAACAGUCAUACAUAGGAUUAAUCGAGUAAUUUCUCCAUCCCUUCAAGGACAAAACAUUUUUCCCUUUCCCACCAAAUAACUUAAUAAUCAAACAAUCUGAGCAAAAACCCAUUGUUAGGAGGAGGGGUUGGGGGAACCACAAAUUUACGCACACAAAAAGCUAAAAAAAAAUAAAGUACUAGGUAACUAGUAUCUGAUAUUGAAAAAGGGUACUAAUUUUUACCCAUAAGUGAAGUAUCUAAAACUUCAUAAGCCAAGAGCACUUGAUCAGUUGGGUUGAAGGACUCAACGGGUCGAGAAUUGAGUUCUCGAAUCGUGUAUACUGAAUAAGUCAUCAUCACCAAAACUGUAGCACCCACAGAUUUGACAACAAGAGGUCCACUUCCACGCUUCACUCGAUCAAGAGCCAUGAUUUCAAGCUUCCUCAAGGGGGUUUUGAACAAUAGCAGCAAAAUCACUGCCAUUUCACAGAAUAUCACAGUGAAAAACAGUUGUAUCAUUUUUUUUCUUUUUUUUUUUGGCUGAAUUUUCUCAAUUCUUGGCUGAAUAGAAAGGGGGAUGGAAAGGGAUUUCUGGGUUUUGUAUGGAAAUUUGGGGAGUCUACAUGGGUUGCUGGAAUUUGAAUGUGUGAAGGUUGACCGGUUGUUUCAGUGUGGGUUGCGCGUGCUGUCGGUGUCUGUAAGUAGUGCUAAAGAACCAUUGUGGCAUUUCUUUAUUGGAUUUGGCAAACGAAAUUUUACUAUUUUAAUGAGCAAUAACUCUUUUAAAAUUUUAGUGAAAAAUUUCGAACUCAACGCUUUCCACUUACACUCAUUUUCCCACGCCAUCCAGACCCAUCCGUCCUCCCUUAACGAGCAAUAGCUAAAAUGCUUUACACAUAAAAAUGCAAAAAAAUUAGACUUCGGAAGCCAGCUACGCAUACAAAUAGGGUAGACUGUUACGAAGUGAUAUUUGCACUUCAAAAAUAAUUUCUGACAUCCUCUACCCUUUUGUCAGUGAAGGUCGGAAGAUUAUUUUGGAGUAUAGACAUCAUUUAUCAAUAAAAAAUUUUCACCCAAAUUUUAGAUAUAAGAAAUGAAAACAAAGAAAAAUUUUAGUUGUUUUAGAAUAGAAUAAAUAGUUAAAAACCAUAUAUAACAUGGAAAAUAACAUUUUAUUUUUCCUUUACAAUCUCUUGACUUUAUUUUUAAUUGAAGAUUUGAUUGAAUUGACUCGUUUUAUGACAAGUGAUUAACAGGCACUAAACACACGCUCGUUAAAGAUAAAUAGUAUUCACUCUUUUCCGGACAAAUAAAAUUAAUUUUCUGAAACAAAUCCUUUUGUUUUAUUAACGUGUGCUGACAUAGAGCCGCAAUAGACAAUUCCGGUUAAAUGGCUAAAACAUCCCCACCUAAACCAGCCCCCGGAUUCCGCAAUAAGUUCAUUCCAUCACUAUUUUCCAUGUUCUUGUGGUUGAUUCUUGUAAAACAAAGUCUUGCGUUGUGAUUUUCAAGUCGGUUUGCUUGUUCAGCAGUUGAACCCGAAAACUAUAGUUCUUGUAGUCUACAUGUUUCUUUCAAUGGCUUCUGAUAAUGUGUUUAGGCAAAGCGACCUAUCUGGGAUUUUCUUGAACAAAAUCAGCCUCUGUCAUGUUGAGUGUUUCUUCAACCUUUGCUGAAACAUUGAAGGUGAUGGAAACUCAAGUAUUGUGGGGGUUGGCCACAGAAGGGUUGUCCAAACACAAUCAUUCACAUUCGAUAGCUGAAUAGCAAACAGGCUAUUUCAAGUUCAAAUUUCCAAUAUCACAAACAAGAAAAGGACAGGUUUCAUGGUAUGACCAGGUUCUAGGGAUAGAUUAAAAGCAGUUGCCCAGAAGGACAAACUUAACAGCAGCUAUGCGGUCGAGUUUUGGUAGUUCCAAAGUCUAUUAAGAUGCUUACAAAAUAAGACAGUUGGGAGAAACCCACCAAAAAGCAUUACAUGGA